rnacentral:lncRNA from 1 species
GCUGGAUUCCCAGAGUCUGACUCAGCACCGGCAUUUAAGGAUAGAGUAGAGAACAGAGGUAAAGCAACAGAGCUGAACCCAGAUGUGUGGUUCCCCCUAGUUCUCUCCUCUUUCCUUUCAUGAGGCAGAAGGAACCUGGGACUCCUGAAGCGUUCCUGCUAAGAGUUUACCUACCUCUCCUCAACAGCCACUCGCGCACAGUGUCAGUGACAUCGAAAGACAGCCAUUCAGCGGUGCCCCUUGUGGGCAGAUUCUUGCCACCUAUGUAGCGCUGCUUGGCUAUGUGCUCAUCCGGUCGAAGUAUCUGUGGGGCAGAGGAGAGAGUGUGUUAUCUAAGGCUGGGACGGAGUACCAGGGAUGGGUUACAAUGCCAGCUUGGUGAGACAAGCAAGGGGAGACCAAGGCUGGGGGGAGUCAGCUUCAGACUGGGGUCUGUCAAACCCCACACUCAGCGGAGGCCAGACCUGGAAGAGGAACUGGCACCUACUUUAUGGUUUCCAGCCAGAAGGAAUACCUGGAAGAGCUCAAUUCUCUGCUCUGUGCGCUU